AUUAAGAUGGAGUCAGCAAUUCAGGGAGUCUCUGAUACUGAACUCAGGAAGAGGGUCUUAAAUGAGCACCACCAAUCUAGUCAGAUCACUGAGUUAGUUGAGUCGAGAGAAAAAGCUGAACGACUAACUAAAGCUGAUGAAAAAAAAAAUCAUGUUUCACAUAGGAAAUCAGAGACAAGGAUGAAAAAUCAAGUAGAUUAUACAAACCUUCUCAACAAGUCAUCAGUAGAAUUCAAAGAGCACUCCUCCCAAGCCAGAAUAAGUGACACAAGAAACACAAAAGCAGUGAUGGAAUCACACGAGGAAAAAACUCUACUAGGUGCGUUGAGUACGUCAACUACUCAUUCUAGUGACACCAUCAGUGUUGAAGUAGCACAGGCAAACAAAAGAGAGGCGAAAGCAUCUUCCCAAGUAUUAUCAGGACACUCAUCAAUUAUGGAGUCAAAGACUGGGUUUUCAACUCAAGCAGUUUCUGAUUCAGGCAUUCAAAGAGGUUUUUCACUACAGCACGAACUUACCUCAGAUAGGCCUCCACAACCUCAGCACAUAACACAUGGUGAAGCCAGAAGGGAUGAGGUUCAUGGUUCGUCUUCAAAUUUCACAUCCCAUGAAGAUGCACUUGGUUCAGCUGAUCGAUUGCAGAAAUCCUCAACACAUUAUGUUGGCGAAUUUGUAGAGAAGGUCAGGCAUGAGAUUUCAAACACUGAGAUUCUGAAGGAGAUUAAG
rnacentral:misc_RNA from 1 species